rnacentral:ribozyme from 13 species
AAUAGAAAAAGAAGAAGAAAGAGAAAAAUAACACAAAUACUCCUCUUCUCCUUGGAUCCCAUUCACCCUCAACACUCCUCCCCUCUCUUCCUCUUUCUCUUUCUUGUUCUCUUUCUCUUUCUCU